rnacentral:rRNA from 1 species
GACAGAGGGUGCAAACGUUGUUCGGAAUUACUGGGCGUAAAGCGCGUGUAGGCUGUCUCGCAAGUCGGGUGUGAAAGCCCUGGGCUCAACCUAGGAAGUGCACUCGAAACUGCGAGACUUGAGUCCUGGAGAGGAAGGCGGAAUUCUCGGUGUAGAGGUGAAAUUCGUAGAUAUCGAGAGGAACACCGGUGGCGAAGGCGGCCUUCUGGACAAUGACUGACGCUGAGACGCGAAAGCGUGGGGAGCAAACAGG